AAAUAAAAGAUCAGAAACCACGUUCAUCGGCCGGAAAGAACGGAGAGAACACACAUCUUCAGAGAAGUAAGACCGGGAGAAAAACAAAAAGCAAAUGCAACGCCAUCCGAGAAGGCCGAAAUUAUUUGAUUUAGAGAAGCGAGAAAAAGUAACUAUUGAUGCGAGAUUACGGAUGUACCGAUCUAGGGAUGCGUGAUCGAUCUCUCUCCGCGAUUGGAGCACUCCACGCCUCAGCUUGGAAGAGGGAGAGAAAGGAGG
rnacentral:lncRNA from 1 species